rnacentral:rRNA from 1 species
UACGUAGGGCGCAAGCGUUGUCCGGAAUUAUUGGGCGUAAAGAGCGUGUAGGCGGCCAUACAGGUCAGCUGUGAAAACUCGAGGCUCAACCUCGAGACGUCGGUUGAAACCGUGUGGCUAGAGUCCGGAAGAGGAGAGUGGAAUUCCCGGUGUAGCGGUGAAAUGCGCAGAUAUCGGGAAGAACACCCGUGGCGAAGGCGGCUCUCUGGGACGGUACUGACGCUGAGACGCGAAAGCGUGGGGAGCGAACAGG